UCCAUUUAGUGGAGAAUGUGUCAGGUCAUCUAAAGAUGUGCUGGUCAGAGGUGUCGCUUUCCAGAAAUGUGUAAUCCCUUUUCUCCACAUUGGAUUGAGUCUGGAGAUGCAUUAAAGCAAAGUGUUAGUUUUUAUUGCUUGCUACUAAGCAGUAGAGAGAAUACACACAUUAUUCCAACGACGGGUAACACAGAAGAGGAAUUGUACAUUCAGUACAUAACAAUCUAGUUGUUUUAGUGCUGCUGUGUAUGAAAUGCACCAAAGACAUUAUUCACUAUGUGUUCCAGUUGUUUACGCUUUGCAGGGGAUAUUAAGCCACUUUUGGACUCUAACAGCAGGAGCAACCGAAAAAAAAUAAAAAAUGGAAAGGUUUUGCUUGCUGCUAUUUAUUUAAAAACAGCACUGGAGAAAUUUGGAAGCCUAAUCAACAAACUUAUCAAAAUACGUCUGUACACUUGAAUAAAUGUUUAAUAGCUAAA